UGCAGUCGAGCGGAACGAGUUAUCUGAACCUUCGGGGAACGAUAACGGCGUCGAGCGGCGGACGGGUGAGUAAUGCCUAGGAAAUUGCCCUGAUGUGGGGGAUAACCAUUGGAAACGAUGGCUAAUACCGCAUAACGCCUACGGGCCAAAGAGGGGGACCUUCGGGCCUCUCGCGUCAGGAUAUGCCUAGGUGGGAUUAGCUAGUUGGUGAGGUAAGGGCUCACCAAGGCGACGAUCCCUAGCUGGUCUGAGAGGAUGAUCAGCCACACUGGAACUGAGACACGGUCCAGACUCCUACGGGAGGCAGCAGUGGGGAAUAUUGCACAAUGGGCGCAAGCCUGAUGCAGCCAUGCCGCGUGUGUGAAGAAGGCCUUCGGGUUGUAAAGCACUUUCAGUCGUGAGGAAGGUAGUGCAGUUAAUAGCUGCAUUAUUUGACGUUAGCGACAGAAGAAGCACCGGCUAACUCCGUGCCAGCAGCCGCGGUAAUACGGAGGGUGCGAGCGUUAAUCGGAAUUACUGGGCGUAAAGCGCAUGCAGGUGGUUUGUUAAGUCAGAUGUGAAAGCCCGUGGGCUCAUCCUCGGAAUUGCAUUUGAAACUGGCAGACUAGAGUACUGUAGAGGGGGGUAGAAUUUCAGGUGUAGCGGUGAAAUGCGUAGAGAUCUGAAGGAAUACCGGUGGCCGAAUGCGCCCCCCCUGUACAGAUACUGACACUCAGAUGCGAAAGCGUGCGGAGCAAAUCACGCAUGUAGAUACCCCUGCCUAGUCCCACGCCGUACACGAUGUCUACUU
rnacentral:rRNA from 1 species